GUCCUUGAUGGUUUUCUUCUCCCUCCCCUCAAUCCUUUUUGCCCUGGUGGCACUUACAGGCUAUCUGCCAAUCCAUUGGGAAGAGUAAGGAUACAGCACUAGGGAAUGGAUGUGCACUUCAUGCUAUAAUCAUGUGUUACAGCACCUGCUAAAUGUCCAUGUUCAGCCCUAAGCAGGGAGAAACCAUGUGGAAACUGGAGUCAUGUAUUAAGAGAUAACUUACUGUGUGAUACAUGCUUGUAAAGCAUAACAGAAAACCUGGAUUAUGCCUCGAGAAGACAUCUGCCUGAAGGGAUUCUAGUAAAGGGAAGAAGGGGUUUAAUGCAUUUUCCAUAUGUUAGGCAAACUGUAAGUUGUAAUUCAUGUGUAGCUUUGCUCUGCUGAGCUUGCAGCUCGGUGCUGAGGCAGUUGGUGCAAGCUCAUGGUCAGGUGCCUGCUCCAGAAGCCAGAGAUGAGGCUGCCCCUCUGCUGAGGGCUGUGCAGGAGGGGAGGAUCAGCUGAGCUUCCCUCAGCACCUCCACCAGCACCAGCUUUGGUGGAUGUGCUGCGGGUGAGUGACUGUGUGAUCUCUUCUCUUGGCUCCUGCAGAGGGACAGGGACACAUUGGGAGAGGAAACUGGCACACUCAGGCAGUGAACACCUGACUGGGGCUGAAAUCCUUCAGAGGAGGUAACCCAGGCUUUUCUGGGACACUGCCUGGCAGCAUGGUUGUUGGGGGGGGCUGUUUUCGGUGCAUUCUGUGUUUUCUUUCAUCCCCUUGUCCAAACCCCGGUGUUAGGAAACUGAAUCCAUGUGCUCGCAGUGCUGAUGGGAGUUAAACACAGAAUGUUUGCAUUUCAAAUGGCUGUGCAAAACAACUUGCUUGCCAUUGAGGAGCAAAUGAGGCUGAUUGGGUCAGGAGGGAAAAGAACAGAUGUGCCUUCCCCAGUCCCUGUAGCAACUGUUGGCAUUGCAGC